rnacentral:rRNA from 1 species
UUGACCAAUUUAACCUCAAA